AUAUUUGAAUGAAAAAAUACGAUUCGGUUGGUAGUCCGAAUGCAUCACAAUUUUGAUGUCAAUAACCUUCCCCUCCUUGGGAUGUCCAUCAUUCGAGAUUAAUAU
rnacentral:ncRNA from 1 species